AUUGAACGCUGGCGGCAUGCCUUACACAUGCAAGUCGAACGGUAACGGGCCUUCGGGUGCCGACGAGUGGCGAACGGGUGAGUAAUGUAUCGGAACGUACCUUUCAGUGGGGGAUAACGUAGCGAAAGUUACGCUAAUACCGCAUAUUCUGUGCUCAGGAAAGCAGGGGAGCGCAAGACCUUGCGCUGAUUGAGCGGCUGAUUUCAGAUUAGCUAGUUGGUGAGGUAAAGGCUCACCAAGGCGACGAUCUGGAGCGUGACUGAGAGGAUGAUCCGCCACACUGGAACUGAGACACGGUCCAGACACCUGCGGGAGGCAGCAGUGGGGAAUUUUGGACAAUGGGGGCAACCCUGAUCCAGCCAGGCCGCGUGAGUGAAGAAGGCCUUCGGGUGGUAAAGCUCUUUCGGCCGGGAAGAAAUCGUAUGGGUUAAUACCCUGUGCGGAUGACGGUACCGGCAUAAGAAGCACCGGCUAACUACGUGCCAGCCGCCGCGGUAAAAC
rnacentral:rRNA from 1 species